rnacentral:rRNA from 1 species
UGGCGGCAGGCCUAACACAUGCAAGUCGAGCGGAAACGAGUUAACUGAACCUUCGGGGGACGUUAACGGCGUCGAGCGGCGGACGGGUGAGUAAUGCCUAGGAAAUUGCCCUGGAUGUGGGGGAUAACCAUUGGAAACGAUGGCUAAUACCGCAUGAUGCCUACGGGCCAAAGAGGGGGACCUUCGGGCCUCUCGCGUCAGGAUAUGCCUAGGUGGGAUUAGCUAGUUGGUGAGGUAAGGGCUCACCAAGGCGACGAUCCCUAGCUGGUCUGAGAGGAUGAUCAGCCACACUGGAACUGAGACACGGUCCAGACUCCUACGGGAGGCAGCAGUGGGGAAUAUUGCACAAUGGGCGCAAGCCUGAUGCAGCCAUGCCGCGUGUGUGAAGAAGGCCUUCGGGUUGUAAAGCACUUUCAGUCGUGAGGAAGGUUUAUGCGUUAAUAGCGUAUAGAUUUGACGUUAGCGACAGAAGAAGCACCGGCUAA